rnacentral:rRNA from 1 species
GAUGAACGCUGGCGGCGUGCUUAACGCAUGCAAGUCGAACGAAGCACCUUGAUUUGAUUCUUCGGAUGAAGAUCUUGGUGACUGAGUGGCGGACGGGUGAGUAACGCGUGGGUAACCUGCCUCAUACAGGGGGAUAACAGUUAGAAAUGACUGCUAAUACCGCAUAAGACCACAGCACCGCAUGGUGCAGGGGUAAAAACUCCGGUGGUAUGAGAUGGACCCGCGUCUGAUUAGGUAGUUGGUGGGGUAACGGCCUACCAAGCCGACGAUCAGUAGCCGACCUGAGAGGGUGACCGGCCACAUUGGGACUGAGACACGGCCCAAACUCCUACGGGAGGCAGCAGUGGGGAAUAUUGCACAAUGGGGGAAACCCUGAUGCAGCGACGCCGCGUGAGCGAUGAAGUAUUUCGGUAUGUAAAGCUCUAUCAGCAGGGAAGAAAAUGACGGUACCUGACUAAGAAGCACCGGCUAAAUACGUG